UACGGGGGGAGCAAGCGUUGUUCGGAUUUACUGGGCGUAAAGGGCGCGUAGGCGGUAGCACAAGUCAGUUGUGAAAUCUCCGGGCUUAACUCGGAAAGGUCAACUGAUACUGUGCGACUAGAGUGCAGAAGGGGCAACUGGAAUUCUCGGUGUAGCGGUGAAAUGCGUAGAUAUCGAGAGGAACACCUGCGGCGAAGGCGGCUCUCUGGGACGGUACUGACGCUGAGACGCGAAAGCGUGGGGAGCGAACAGG
rnacentral:rRNA from 1 species